rnacentral:rRNA from 1 species
UACGUAGGGUGCAAGCGUUGUCCGGAAUUAUUGGGCGUAAAGAGCUCGUAGGCGGUGUGUCACGUCGGCCGUGAAAACCUGCAGCUUAACUGUGGGCGUGCGGUCGAUACGGGCAUCACUGGAGUUCGGCAGGGGAGACUGGAAUUCCUGGUGUAGCGGUGAAAUGCGCAGAUAUCGGGAGGAACACCAAUGGCGAAGGCAGCUUGCUGGGACGGUACUGACGCUGAGACGCGAAAGCGUGGGGAGCAAACAGG